GACGAACGCUGGCGGCGUGCUUAACACAUGCAAGUCGAACGGAAAGGCCCUGCUUGCAGGGUACUCGAGUGGCGAACGGGUGAGUAACACGUGGGUGAUCUGCCCUGCACUUCGGGAUAAGCCUGGGAAACUGGGUCUAAUACCGGAUAGGAGCCAUUUUUAGUGUGAUGGUUGGAAAGUUUUUUCGGUGUAGGAUGAGCUCGCGGCCUAUCAGCUUGUUGGUGGGGUAAUGGCCUACCAAGGCGGCGGCGGGUAGCCGGCCUGAGAGGGUGGACGGCCACAUUGGGACUGAGAUACGGCCCAGACUCCUACGGGAGGCAGCAGUGGGGAAUAUUGCACAAUGGGCGCAAGCCUGAUGCAGCGACGCCGCGUGGGGGAUGACGGCCUUCGGGUUGUAAACUCCUUUCGCUAGGGACGAAGCUUUUUGUGACGGUACCUAGAUAAGAAGCACCGGCUAACUACGUG
rnacentral:rRNA from 1 species